UACAGAGGUCUCAAGCGUUGUUCGGAUUCAUUGGGCGUAAAGGGUGCGUAGGCGGCGCGGUAAGUCGGGUGUGAAAUCUCGGAGCUUAACUUCGAAACUGCAUUCGAUACUGCCGUGCUUGAGGACUGGAGAGGAGACUGGAAUUUACGGUGUAGCGGUGAAAUGCGUAGAUAUCGUAAGGAAGACCAGUGGCGAAGGCGGGUCUCUGGGCAUUUCCUGACGCUGAGGCGCGAAAGCGUGGGGAGCAAACGGG
rnacentral:rRNA from 1 species